UUUAGAUCCAAGAAGUGUUCUACUACAGCAAGAAACCCAAGGUUUAAGACCAUGAUGCAUGAGAGCGCAAAGGAUAUUCUUCUUUGUGAUCUUGAUAUGGAUGACGAGCUAAAUGAAUUUCGGGACGGAGUUCUUCGGGAAAAUGAUCUUGAAGAUCUAUUUUUAACUGCACCAUAAAGGUGGUGAUGGGAUCGUGGGGUCAAAUUCAUUCAACUGGGGUUACUCGCGCCUGCAAUUUUGGCUCGGGUGGAGGGUUUGGACAAGGCCAGAAAGACAAGUUUAGAGGUCGAAUUUUCCAACCCCAAAGGAGAUGCCUGGAAAAGUUAGUGAUUGGCCAGGAGAGAGCUAAAAAGGUCCAUGGCUUCUCAACUUGGAAGUAUGUUCCAUUUAGAUAUUUUACAUUACAAUACUUCUCUUCUGUGAAGACUAGGUGGCUUUCAGGUUUUUGGAUCAAAUGUUUAUGAAUUUUGUCCAGUAUGUUACUGAUUUUUGUUAUGUUGGCAUAUGAAUAUCUGAUGUUAUGCUAUACCUUGCAAGCUAGGCCUGUUGCGAAUGCAGAUGGUAACAGACCUGCUGGCCAAACUUUGGACUGACAGAAUGUUUCCCAUAAAGAAAAAUUAAAUCUUUUGAUG